rnacentral:rRNA from 1 species
AAUGAACGAAAGUUUGACACAGCGACACCGCGUGUGGGAUGACGGAUCUAGGUUUGUAAACCACUUUCAGGAGGGAAGAAAAUGACGGUACCUCCACAAGAAGCCCCGGCCAACUACGUGCCAGCAGCCGCGGUAAUACGUAGGGGGCGAGCGUUGUCCGGAUUUAUUGGGCGUAAAGAGCUCGUAGGCGGUUCAACAAGUCGGUCGUGAAAGUUCAGGGCUCAACCCUGAAAUGCGAUCGAUACUGUUGGACUAGGAUACGGUAGAGGUGAGUGGAAUUCCGAGUGUAGCGGUGAAAUGCGUAGAUAUUCGGAGGAACACCAACUGCGAAGGCAGCUCACUGGACCGCCAUCGACGCUGAGGAGCGAAAGCUAGGGGAGCAGACAGGAUU